AUCCACAUGCCACGUAUUGGGUAUCAAGAUGGAUCAGAUCGUUCAGAUUGGUACACGGUGGAACGGCUUCUACGAAAAUAUGGUUCCAUAUAUGGCAUAAAAGUUUUUGUGUAUUAUUACCGCCGAUCUACCUGAGACUUGACUUGUGUUUGAAAUAUAUUGACUUUGUCCUUUUUAGGUUAACCCUUUCUUUUGUAUUACGAGGACUUGAUAGUCCUGAAUAGUGAAAUGCACACAUCUCUUAAAUUUGGUUUAUGUUACAAAGUUUUCUUGUAAAGAGAAAGGAUCUUGAUUGUUGUACUUCGGCAACAUAGCUAACAUUAUUCAUGGUUAGGCCCCCCAAUAGGCAAUACCCCAAGGAAAUUAUAUUACGGGGGUAAGAUUCU